GGUGUUGUGGUGUAGUUGGUUAUCACAUCAGUCUUACACACUGAAGGUCUCCGGUUCGAGCCCGGGCAACGCCA
rfam:Beta vulgaris subsp. vulgaris Bvchr8.sca018.con0287.1, whole genome shotgun sequence.